rnacentral:rRNA from 1 species
GACGAACGCUGGCGGCGUGCCUAAUACAUGCAAGUUGAGCGCUGAAGGUUGGUACUUGUACCAACUGGAUGAGCAGCGAACGGGUGAGUAACGCGUGGGGAAUCUGCCUUUGAGCGGGGGACAACAUUUGGAAACGAAUGCUAAUACCGCAUAAAAACUUUAAACACAAGUUUUAAGUUUGAAAGAUGCAAUUGCAUCACUCAAAGAUGAUCCCGCGUUGUAUUAGCUAGUUGGUGAGGUAAAGGCUCACCAAGGCGAUGAUACAUAGCCGACCUGAGAGGGUGAUCGGCCACAUUGGGACUGAGACGCGGCCCAA